rnacentral:rRNA from 1 species
GACGAACGCUGGCGGCGUGCUUAACACAUGCAAGUCGAACGGAAAGGCACUGCUUUUGUGGGGUGCUCGAGUGGCGAACGGGUGCGUAACACGUGAGUAACCUGCCCUUGACUUUGGGAUAACUUCAGGAAACUGGGGCUAAUCCCGGAUAGGAGCUCCUGCUGCAUGGUGGGGGUUGGAAAGUUUCGGCGGUUGGGGAUGGACUCGCGGAUUAUCAGCUUGUUGGUGGGGUAGUGGCUUACCAAGGCUUUGACGGGUAGCCGGCCUGAGAGGGUGACCGGCGACAAUGGGACUGCGAUACGGCCCAGACGCCUACGGGGGGCAGCAGGGGGGAAUAUUGCACAAUGGGCGGAAGCCUGAUGCAGCAACGCCGCGUGCGGGAUGACGGCCUUCGGGGUGUAAACCGCUUUCGCCUGUGACGAAGCGGGAGUGACGGUAAUGGGUAAAGAAGCACCGGCUAACUACGUG